rnacentral:rRNA from 1 species
AUUGAACGCUGGCGGCAUGCCAUACACAUGCAAGUCGAACGGCAGCACGGGUGCUUGCACCUGGUGGCGAGUGGCGAACGGGUGAGUAAUACAUCGGAACGUACCUUAUCGUGGGGGAUAACGCAGCGAAAGCUGUGCUAAUACCGCGUACGCCCUGAGGGGGAAAGCGGGGGAUCGAAAGACCUCGCGCGAUUAGAGCGGCCGAUGCCUGAUUAGCUUGUUGGUGGGGUAAAAGCCCACCAAGGCGGCGAUCAGUAGCUGGUCUGAGAGGACGAUCAGCCACACUGGGACUGAGACACGGCCCAGACUCCUACGGGAGGCAGCGGUGGGGAAUUUUGGACAAUGGGGGCAACCCUGAUCCAGCAAUGCCGCGUGAGUGAAGAAGGCCUUCGGAUUGUAAAGCUCUUUUGUCAGGGAAGAAACACCGGCUCUAACACAGUCCGGGAAUGACGGUACCUGAAGAAUAAGCACCGGCUAACUACGUGCCAGCCGCCGCCGUAA